rnacentral:tRNA from 1 species
GUUAUGAAAUAUGUAUUUUGUCCGACUCGAAAUCAGGCGUACCGCAAGGUACCGUGGGUUCGAAUCCCACCCUCGCCA